GAUGAAGAACGCAGCGAAAUGCGAUAAGUAAUGCGAAUUGCAGAAUUCCGUGAGUCAUCGAAUCUUUGAACGCACAUUGCGCCCGCCAGUAUUCUGGCGGGCAUGCCUGUUCGAGCGUCAUUGCAACCCCUCAGGCCCUGCCUGGCGUUGGAGGACUGCGCUACGCAGCCUCCCAAAGCAAGCGGCGGCGGCGCCCCAAAUCCGAACGCAGUAGUUACCUCUCGUUCUGGGUGCUGGGACGGCGUCCGGCCGGAAAACCCCCAUCUAUAUCGUGGUUGACCUCGAAUCAGGUAGGAAUACCCGCUGAACUUAAGCAUAUCAAUAAGCGGAGGA
rnacentral:misc_RNA from 1 species